rnacentral:tRNA from 1 species
GCAGCCAUAGCUCAGCUGGUUAGAGCGCUAGAUUGUGGAUCUAGAGGUCCCCUGUUCGAACCAGGGUGGCUGUACCA